rnacentral:lncRNA from 1 species
CCGUGCGCGUCUCCCUUUCGUGUUGAUUAAUAUGUGUUACGUUUGGUACCGAGCUGUUGUUUGGUCGCCGGAAGAGAUAUGUUCCCGUACACUCAUUUGUUUUUCCUGCAGGUGCCUUUGUGGGCUUUGUGUGCGCAGCGCAAGAGCUGUGGAAAAUGUGUGCUGUCGAGUGAUUGCGCAAGUCGUUGCUAAAGGCACCGACGAUUGCAUAACACGGCACGCACAUUUCCACAGCCUGUGUCUAAAUCCCGCCGUGCUAGAAGCCAUGUAUUGGGAACUUGAGGACCAUGGCGUACCUACUCCAUCCGACCUGCACAAGAAGUACCGCUUCACGGCUUAUCGUUUAUUUACACGCUGGUGCUGGGGCCGACUGGGACGACGAAACCGUGUGGUGCUGCCAGCAUGUGUUGUAGGCCGUAUCCGCAAUGAAUUUCCAUCGGCCACCUAUGUCGGCUUUCACUAUCCA